GAUGAACGCUGGCGGCGUGCCUAAUACAUGCAAGUCGAGCGAACGGACGAGAAGCUUGCUUCUCUGAUGUUAGCGGCGGACGGGUGAGUAACACGUGGAUAACCUACCUAUAAGACUGGGAUAACUUCGGGAAACCGUAGCUAAUACCGGAUAAUAUUUUGAACCGCAUGGUUCAAAAGUGAAAGACGGUCUUGCUGUCACUUAUAGAUGGAUCCGCGCUGCAUUAGCUAGUUGGUAAGGUAACGGCUUACCAAGGCAACGAUGCAUAGCCGACCUGAGAGGGUGAUCGGCCACACUGGAACUGAGACACGGUCCAGACUCCUACGGGAGGCAGCAGUAGGGAAUCUUCCGAAAUGGGCGAAAGCCUGACGGAGCAACGCCGCGUGAGUGAUGAAGGUCUUCGGAUCGUAAAACUCUGUUAUUAGGGAAGAACAUAUGUGUAAGUAACUGUGCACAUCUUGACGGUACCCAAUCAGAAAGCCACGGCUAACUACGUG
rnacentral:rRNA from 1 species